CUACAUUUAUUUGGCUUCGAAACAUUUCAGGAUUUAUGAUAUUUGUGUAUAUUUUUUGGACUUAUCUUAACAUGGUGCUCUAAAGUUACCAGAACUUCUAAAGCUUUUGACGGAGUUAAUUAGCCAAUAGAAAUUUGAAAAAUCUUGUGUCUAUAGUCUUCAGAAAAGAUUGAAUACUAUUACCUUUUGUUCUAGUAAUCGUUAUUCCUGUAUGCUUUUGUUUUUUUGCAUGAGUUUUCCCACUAACCACAAGUUUUUUUGUUAUUGAUUUUUAUUUCUGAACUUCAGCCAUUUCCAUUUUGUUCAUGAGCUUGUAAUUAUACUUAUGGACUCUGCAAUUCUUUACUUCGGGAUAUUGCUCUGGUUUUAGAAGGUAAUUACUUUUGUGUUUUCUUGGUGGUCCUUUACUUAAGGAACUCUCUCUUGACUUCUCAUCUCUUUUGUGAGUACACAGGGCAGGAGAACUUUUCCUACAUUUUGGUCUCGAUGCAAAAAAUAAGAUGUUGCACACACUUUCAUUUUUAGCAGGCGUUAUGGAGCUGGAGUUCUUGUGGCUCUUCCUCAUGAUUUUUACAAAAUAAAAUUGCAAUACUACGAUGGCCGUUUUGUUUACUUUUUGCGUCAAUUAAUUUCAUUUAUCGCUGGGAAUAAAGAUAAGCAAGAGAUCGAAGAUAACAUGAGAUGGGAGACCACGAAAUUGACAAGGAGGCCUUGCUAGUAAGGGACUUUGUGGUUCUUUCUGUUGUUGAAAAUAAAUCGAGCAUCACCUAUCGUCUAUAUGGGAAUUCAAGGUUUUAACUGAAGCCAGAUGUCAUCAACUUAUUCGCCAGCUAUAUACCAUUCUUGAGAAGGACAGACAUUCUCAUCUUUUACAUUUCAUGAGAAUUUGAGAUAGCUUCAAAUAGCAAGGAACAAACGAAGAGGCGAUUAGGAUUAUGCUUUUUCCCUAAACUUUAAGGGAUAAAGAUAGGGAAUGACUUGAUUCAGUACUAUCGACAGCAUCACUACAUGGACAAAACUAGUAUAGAAGUUCACCACAAAGUAUUUUCCUCCAAUCAAGAUUGCCAAACUCAAACAUGACAUCUCCAUUUUCCCGUCUCAUUUGGUAAGCUUUUAUGAAGCUUGGAAAAGAUUCAAAUAACUACUCAGUAAGUGAUUGAAUCACGGUACCGUAAAGGGUCUUUAAAUACAAUACUUCGAUUCUGGGUUGCUUCCAUCCAAUCGAUCUACAGUUGAUACAGCUUCCAAAGGAUCCAUUACAAAAAAAGAAAGAAAGAAUGAAGACUGUCUACAAAGCAUAGGAAUUGCUUGAAAUAAUGAGUGAGCACGGUGCAGCGGGGCCAGAUGGUGGAACACAGAAAGAAAAUAGACGAAAUGCAAGGGGUGGGUGCCGAUUCCCUUGUCCUUGCAAAAAUCGAUUCAUUGACAAAGAAGAGGGAUGAAAUAUUAACUACUCGAUCAGUUAAUAUGGUGCAAGCACUUCUUUUAGUUUGUGGUGCUUGUGAGGCAAAUAUACUGACAUCGGAAUGCCUAUUGGUCACACAAAUCAUCCAUCACCAAGUGAGCAAGAAUCCACCACAGGAGCAGAAGGAAAGAUGGGGAGAAGAAUGACACUACCAUGUGGAGCCAAAAUGAAACUUUGAAGAAACUGGAAAAUCAAGUAGGGCAGGUAGCAAAGAUGCUGUCUGAGUAAUAACAAGACACAUAUCCAAGCAAAACUGAAGUCAACCCAAUCGAGAAGGUGAAUGCAAUUACCUUAAUGAACGGGGGCCAACCAAAGCAAAUUCUUUUCUCUAUUCUACCCUCAUCGACAUCUCCUUACGCUGAUUCAAUAGCAGUUGCAGCUGGGUCGUUCUCCAUUCCUUAGGAAGGAAUGCGGGGAAGGAUGGGGCGGUACUGGCUCUUACUCAAUUCCUAGGAAUUGCGGGCCAGGGAAGAUCGGUACCGAGCCGACCAUUCAAUUCGAAAAUUCUUGAAAAGGGACCAAGCCUAUGGUCGAUGAUCACAAGCAUAUGAUAGAGAGCAAUUGACCCUAUGGAGCUUGAACAUUACUAAUAGGAUGAGGUUAUGUGUCAAGCAUCAAGUGGACACUUUCUUGACACAAAGAGACUUGUAAAGGUAAUGCAAUUUUGAAUUCAAGAUCACUCUCUAAAUCUUGGAAAUACUCAACUUGGCAAUUGUUAUUUCGUCCAUUGCCUCUUCCACACCUAAAUAUCUUCAGCUAUUUGGCUUGAGUAUCAGAGUGCUCUGCAAUAACAUGUAGUUUAACGUGAUGUCAAAGCGUGCAAGUACCAUACAUAUGGAUGGGAGUAGAGCUGGAUCUGUUAACAACAAGAUUCCGUCCCGUUGAAUUUCAAGUCAGCAAAUCUGGUACAAAAUACAAUGAAAAAACUUCUAUUUCUAACCUCCAUAUUGGCGAUGAUUGUUCAACACAUAGCAAAUCGAUGUACUUAAUGCAAGUGACAACAAAUUAAUCAUUAUUUUCUAUAAAUUUAAAAGUUGGCUC